rnacentral:lncRNA from 1 species
AGAAAAACAAGCAGAAAUUAUUUAUAAGUGUUCCUGCUUCGACGGUUUCUCAUAGGCAAACCGCCGCGACAAGAUGGGGAACCGUGAUAUCAGAAGGUUGUUACUUCUCGUCUGCCUGGUCUUCAUUUCCUGUGAAAAAACGAAUAAUUGCGACAAUGUCUACCACCCUUCCCUUUAUAACUUGGGAGUCCUCGCAUUAAUAUAAUAGAUGCCUUAAGUGUUGGUGGACCCUGGAUAGACAUGAUAAAUCUUGGCCUUCAUGCAGUACCUCUGAUUCCAAAUUAGAAUAAUGAUCAAUGCUAGAAUAUUGAUAUUUCUUGCAUUUUGAAUAUAUAUAUAUAUAUAUAUAUAUAUAUAUAUAUAUAUAUAUAUAUAUACAUAUAUAUAUACUAUAUUCACAUCUAUCUAUCUAUCUAUCUAUCUAUCUAUCUAUCUAUCUAUCUAUCUAUCUAUCUAUCUAUCUAUAUAUAUAUAUACUAUAUGUGCGUAUAUAGUAUAAAGAUAUAUAUAUCUAUAUCUAUAUAUAUACAUAUAUUAUAUCACUUUUACACAAGGUAUGUUGGUUUCUAAGGUCUAUCAACAGAGUGAUGUUCAUAUAGCAAACCAAAACUUUAUUUAGAAAAAAAGAACAUCGACAAUAUUAUGUAUAUAUAUAUAUAUAUAUAUAUAUAUAUAUAUAUAUAUAUAUAUAUA